rnacentral:rRNA from 1 species
AGCAGCCGCGGUAAUUCCAGCUCCAAUAGCGUAUAUUAAAGUUGUUGCAGUUAAAAGCUCGUAGUUGAAUUUCGGGGUUAGUAAGUUGGUCGUGCCACUGGUAUGUACUGGCUUUACUGAUUCCUCCUUCUUGUAGAACCGUAAUGCCAUUAAUUUGGUGUUGCAGGGAAACUGGACUGUUACUUUGAAAAAAUUAGAGUGUUUAAAGCAAGCUAACGCUUGAAUACAUUAGCAUGGAAUAAUGAAAUAGGACGUUCGAUCCUAUUUUGUUGGUUUCUAGGAUUGACGUAAUGAUUAAUAGGGAUAGUUGGGGGCAUUAGUAUUCAAUUGUCAGAGGUGAAAUUCUUGGAUUUAUUGAAGACUAACUACUGCGAAAGCAUUUUGCCAAGGAUGUUUUCAUUAAUCAAGAACGAAAGUUAGGGGAUCGAAGACGAUCAGAUACCGUCGUAGUCUUAACCAUAAACUAUGCCGACUAGGGAUCGGAUGAUGUUAAUUUUUUAAUGACUCAUUCGGCGCCUUA